rnacentral:misc_RNA from 1 species
CACGAACCGGACAAACGUUAUUCGGAAUCACUGGGCUUAAAGGGUGCGUAGGCGGCUAUGUAGGUGGGGUGUGAAAUCCCUCGGCUCAACCGAGGAACUGCGCUCCAAACCACAUAGCUUGAGGGAGAUAGAGGUAAGCGGAACAGAUGGUGGAGCGGUGAAAUGCAUUGAUAUCAUCUGGAACACCGGUGGCGAAAGCGGCUUACUGGAUCUCUUCUGACGCUGAGGUACGAAAGCUGGGGGAGCGAACGGG